rnacentral:ncRNA from 1 species
GAGAGCCAAAUGAAUCGAAAGAUUCAUGUUUGGUUCAGUUCUUUAUAAAAAAAAAAGAUGGAUGGAAUAGCUAAUUCUACAAGACAAAAGAUUGAUUUUUUUUUCAC